UUUAUUUUUAAAAAAUCAAUUUUUGAGUAAUACUCUAGAGGCAGUGGCUCUGCCAAGCAGGGAAGUCAAAUGCAUCGCUUUUUUUCCUGUACACUGUUGGCAAGCACAGAUAAUCCACAACUCCAACGCCAUCUAUUCUCAAUGCGUAGGGUCUGUGUUAUAUUUCUCCUCUUCCAGAAAGUUAAAGCUCGGUGAAACUUAAAGCAGUGAUCCCAGGUUUUUAAAUUUUUAUAUUUUUACUUUUCUUCCAUCUGCCUGGUCAUCUGCAUGAUCCCAGCUUUCUGAACAGGAUUUGUGACACUGUUUCACGGUCCUAAGAACUCUCAGGAAAAAAUCCUCUAUAUUUUCAUGACAGGUUUUCUAGGUGGGUGAAUUAAAGUCUCUGGAGUUAAGCAAAAA
ensembl:lncRNA novel transcript, sense intronic to PRCD